UCAUUUCACAGGGGGUGCCCAAGUAAACGGGCUGAGAUCAUACCCAAAUCACCUGAUCCGGAUAAUGCCGGCGUAGGGAAAAUAAAAGUCCACAAUU
rnacentral:ncRNA from 2 species